CCUACGGGAGGCAGCAGUGAGGAAUAUUGGUCAAUGGACGAGAGUCUGAACCAGCGAAGCAGCGUGAAGGAUGACUGCCCUAUGGGUUGUAAACUUCUUUUAUAUGGGAAUAAAAUGUUGCACGUGUGGAAUUUUGUACGUACCAUAUGAAUAAGGAUCGGCUAACUCCGUACCAGCAGCCGCGGUAAUACGGAGGAUCCGAGCGUUAUCCGGAUUUAUUGGGUUUAAAGGGAGCGUAGGUGGAUUGUUAAGUCAGUUGUGAAAGUUUGCGGCUCAACCGUAAAAUUGCAGUUGAAACUGGCAGUCUGGAGUACAGUAGAGGUGGGCGGAAUUCGUGGUGUAGCGGUGAAAUGCUUAGAUAUCACGAAGAACUCCGAUUGCGAAGGCAGCUCACUGGACUGCAACUGACGCUGAGGCUCGAAAGUGUGGGUAUCAAACAGGAUUAGAUACCCCAGUAGUC
rnacentral:rRNA from 1 species